rnacentral:pre_miRNA from 1 species
AGACACCCUUCUGGGGCAAGACUUGCUUCAGUGGGGCUUUGGUGCUCACUGAGUCUGCCUCCUGAGUGUGUCUCU